AGUGAACGCUGGCGGCAGGCCUAACACAUGCAAGUCGAGCGGCAGCGCGGGGGCAACCCUGGCGGCGAGCGGCGGACGGGUGAGGAAUUCGUCGGAAUCUGCCUUUUUGUGGGGGAUAACGUAGGGAAACUUACGCUAAUACCGCAUACGUCCUACGGGAGAAAGUGGGGGACCGCAAGGCCUCACGCAGAAAGAUGAGCCGACGACCGAUUAGCUAGUUGGUGGGGUAAAGGCCCACCAAGGCGACGAUCGGUAGCUGGUCUGAGAGGAUGAUCAGCCAAAGGGGGACGGAGACACGCCCCAAGACCCUGCGGGGGGCAGGAGGGGGGAAAUUUGGACAAGGGGCGAAAGCCUGCCCCAGCCAUGCCGCGUGGGGGAAGAAGGCCUUCGGGUGGUAAAGCACUUUUUUCGGGAAAAAAACCCCGGGGGCAAAAACCUUCGGGGGAGGCCGGUACCGGAAAAAAAAGCCCCGGCUAACUUGGG
rnacentral:rRNA from 1 species